UACGAAGGGGGCUAGCGUUGUUCGGAAUUAUUGGGCGUACAGGGCGCGUAGGCGGCAUGGCAAGUGGAAGGUGAAAUCCCUCGGCUCAACUGAGGAACUGCCCUCCAAACUGCUUUGCUUGAGUCCGGGAGAGGUGAGUGGAAUUCCCAGUGUAGCGGUGAAAUGCGUAGAUAUUGGGAGGAACACCAGUGGCGAAGGCGGCUCACUGGACCGGAACUGACGCUGAGGCGCGAAAGCGUGGGGAGCAAACGGG
rnacentral:rRNA from 1 species